AUUGAACGCUGGCGGCAUGCUUUACACAUGCAAGUCGAACGGUAACAGGCCGCAAGGUGCUGACGAGUGGCGAACGGGUGAGUAAUGCAUCGGAACGUGCCCAGUCGUGGGGGAUAACGCAGCGAAAGCUGCGCUAAUACCGCAUACGAUCUAUGGAUGAAAGCGGGGGACCGUAAGGCCUCGCGCGAUUGGAGCGGCCGAUGUCAGAUUAGGUAGUUGGUGGGGUAAAGGCUCACCAAGCCAACGAUCUGUAGCUGGUCUGAGAGGACGACCAGCCACACUGGGACUGAGACACGGACCAGACUCCUACGGGAGGCAGCAGUGGGGAAUUUUGGACAAUGGGCGCAAGCCUGAUCCAGCAAUGCCGCGUGCAGGAAGAAGGCCUUCGGGUUGUAAACUGCUUUUGUACGGAACGAAACGGUCCUGGUUAAUACCUGGGGCUAAUGACGGUACCGUAAGAAUAAGCACCGUCUAACUACGUGCCAGCCGCCGCAGUAAAAC
rnacentral:rRNA from 1 species